UACAGAGGGUGCAAGCGUUGUUCGGAAUUAUUGGGCGUAAAGCGCGUGUAGGCGGCUUUGCAAGUCGGGUGUGAAAUCCCUCAGCUUAACUGAGGAAGUGCGCCCGAAACUGCAGAGCUUGAAUACCGGAGAGGAUGGCGGAAUUCCCCAAGUAGAGGUGAAAUUCGUAGAUAUGGGGAGGAACACCGGUGGCGAAGGCGGCCAUCUGGACGGAUAUUGACGCUGAGACGCGAAAGCGUGGGUAGCAAACAGG
rnacentral:rRNA from 1 species